rnacentral:lncRNA from 1 species
GGGAGUGUGAUUUGGUGGGGAAGAAGGAGGGUAGAAGAGAAAAGAAAUUUCUUGGGGCUUCUGAGAUCCACCUGAUAAUAUUUGACACUGUCUUCAGGCAACAGCUCUCUACUGCCCUGAGAAUGACAUCCCCACUGUUCACCAUGGCCUUAAAUCCCCUGCAAAUUCCACCUCAUCCUCUGCCACUUCCCAUCACUGCUCUGAAGAUGCCCUGAUCUUGUUUCAGUCCCUUGGACAUACCCAGCUCUUCUCUAUCUUUGCAUGUGUCAUACCCUUCCUGCUGCUCAUCCCAGAACUGACUCUUCAUGUAUUUACUCUUAUUUUGAGAGAAGGGGGCAUUUCCACCACCAGAAGGGAACUUGCUAUCUUGGUAGCCAUUGUCCCCUGACACCUGGCACAUCUACUAUACAGAGUCACCAUUCAAGUGGAUGUUGAAUGAGUACACUUGUUUCACAGUUUGGUUGGGCAAGCCCCAAAGCUUGGUUCCCGGUAGGAUCAGGCUUUAUGAGUGGGCUGAGUUUCUAUAAAAGUCUCCCUACCAGUUUCCAAUCUUGGUGAAACUAUCUUUGUGGGCACAAAUGAGAAAACUUGCCAUCGUAUCACCAGUUACCCAGCUGUGGAC